AGCAUUCGGCUACAGGACCGCGACACUGCAGGGCCCCGGCUCUGCGCGCUGCGCUCCGGCCGCUCGGCGCGGGAGGACGUGCGGUCGCGCCUGCCUCGGUGGCCGCGCGGGGUGGGAGCAUUUCAGAGCGCACAAGCCAUGGUGGCCAAACAGCGGAUCCGGAUGGCUAACGAGAAGCACAGCAAAAACAUCACCCAGAGGGGGAACGUAGCCAAAACCCUGAGGCCGCAAGAGGAGAAAUAUCCUGUGGGACCAUGGCUGUUGGCACUGUUUGUUUUUGUUGUCUGUGGCUCAGGUCAACCACAUAAAUUGGCCUCUCCUGGAGACUGCCAGAACUUUCUCAAAGUUGUAACAUCCAGAGGGAGUCACCCCACCCCCAAGACCGGCAACUGAGAUGUUUAAAGGAACUGGCUGGCCCUGAAGGAAAGACUGAGGCCAUUCAUCUGCUCUGGAGUUCAUCCUCGGGAUCUGAGAUGCACAGCCUGAAGACAUCUCAUCAGCCAUCAGCUCCCUUAAGAGGACCUACUUUGUGCCAUACCUGGUCGCUGUUAUCCUGGAGCUUAUAGUCUAAUGGCAAAGAAAGAUGAGUUAAUCAAGUAAUCACACCAAAACACUUUCAAUUCAGCCAUGAAACUGUACAAUUUCAGCCAUGAAACAAUGUAAAGGAGAGGCACAUGGGGCUAUGAAAUCAUACAAUGCAAAGGACUGGUGUACUCUCAGGUAAGUGGUUCUCAAAGUGUGGUCCCUGGACCGGCAUCUCAACAUCUCCUGUGAACUUGUUAGAAACACAGAUUCUCCAUCCCUUAACUCCAGGGUUUGGGGGGAAGGUGUCCAGCAUUUGUGUUUUAACCUGUCCCCAAGAGACUGUGAUGCAUGCUCAAGUCUGAGAACCUCUGCUCCAGGUGAUCAAAGAAGGCUUCUCUGAAGACAUUAAAUUUUGGUUGAUGAAGGAAACUAGGGAAUAGGGUGGGGUAGAAGUAUUUCAGACAGAAAGAAUGGCAUGUGUAAAAGCCCUGUGGUCUCACUCCUGUAAAUCCCAGCACUUUGGGAGGCCGAGGCGGGUGGAUCGUGAGAUCAAGAGAUUGACACCAUCCUGGCCAACAUAGUGAAACCCCGUCUCUAUUAAAAAUACAAAAAAAAUUAGCUGGGCAUGGUGGUGCGCUCCUGUAGUCCCAGCUACUCAGGAGGCUAAGGCUGGAGAAUCGCUUGAACCCGGAAGACAGAGGUUGCAGUAAGCCGAGAUCGUGCCACUGCUCUCUAGGCUGGUGACAGAGUGAGACUCUGUCUCAAAAAAAAAAAAAAAAAGCCCUGUGGUGAGAGCAGGAGAGCAGGGAGCUUUUGAAAACAUGAGGGAGUACCCCAAGCAAGGAGAAGAGUGAUACAAGGUGAGUCUGACAGGUCUGGACAGGGACCAUGAUGUGCAGGUCAUGAAGGCCUCAUCAGGGAUUGGGCAACGGGAAGCUUUUGAUGUGCAGUAAACACGGGAGUGACAAUAUAUUAUUUGCUUUUAUUGAAAGGAUAAUUCUAGCUACAGUAUGGAGAAAGGAUGGAAGAAGAGCAAGAGUCGAGCACUGGGAGGGCCUCACUGGGGUCUUGGGGAGGAUGAUGGUAACUUGGACUAGGGUGGCUUCUGAGGAAUGGAAAGAAGGGUGCAUAAUCACAAGAUUCCCAGGUAAAAUCCACAGGUCUUGGUUAUCAAUUGGAGGUGUCAGGAAGGACUGUGGUGUUUUGAGUCUACAUCCAAGAUGGAAGAUAAUGAUGCCAGUUUUAGCAGUGGGACGAGAUCAUGAGAAGGUCCUGUUGAGUCCGAGGUACCUCUGAGCCACCCAGCUGUAGAUAUCAACUAGAUAGUGGAAGGUGUGCUGGAGCUCAGAGAAGUCAGGGCUGGAGAUACACAUUUGUGCAUCAUCAACAGCUAGGUGGCAAUUCAAACUGUGGGCUGGGAGGCAUUGCCUAAGAAGAAAGAACGUAAGGAGAAGAAAGCCAGUGACGUUCAUUGCAGAAUGUCAGCGCUUAUGUUUAAUGGUCAAGUGGAUUGUUUCCUCUAAAACAAGUUUAGAGGAAAGAUCCAAGAGAAGGAGGAAAAUUAGAACCUAGAAGACCAUGGUUUCACAGAGGCCAAGGGAAGAGAGUUUCAAGCAGGAAGUGCCCAGCGGGGGUGAGCAGGGGGUAAGGCAAAAGAAGGUGGAAGAAUGCCUGUUACACUAAGCGACUCAAAAGUCAUUUGUGACUUUAGCAAAAGAUAUUCAAUGGAGGGAAGAGAGCAGAAGAUAAAAUGAGGUGGACUGACAUGAGAAUAGCAGGUAAGAGAGUGCAGAAAGUGAGCAUAGACAGCUCUUUAGAAAUGGUUGUGAAGAGGAAGAGAGGGCCCUGUGGAUGGAGAUGUGGAGUCAGGCAGAUAGCUCUGGUGUAUUUGAUUUUUCAGUGGGAGUGCUCCUAGCAUGUUAAAGCCUAAAGACUUUGUUGAAAGGGGUGCUGAAAAAAGAGAAAUGGUAUCAUCUAAGGUUACCAAGGGCCAGGAUCCUUGACACAGGUAGGAGGAUGCAGAGGCUUCGUGGGUCUGGUAGCUCCUGCUCUCCCCUGGACUUUUCUGAACCUCUGGGACCUGCCCACGCCCUGAUCGCCUGCCCUGGAACGCCUGCUGUCCCUCCCUUUCUUGGCAUCUCUCCUCCCCGCUGUCUCGCCUGCCCACAGUUCCUCUCCUGCAGCCUGUUCUGCUGUUUUCUCAGCUUUGUUCACCCACUGUUAAGUUAUUAACUUGUCAGGGUCUAGACUCCCCGCUUCCUUUCCCUCUUUUGAACUCACUGCUGGCUCCCUUCCCAUUUGCCGCCUCAGAAAGUCAGCAUUUGGAAGGCUGAGGUUACUCUGCAGGUCAGUAUUGGCAGGUACACAGAAUUACAGUUAAUAUAAUUAGAAUGUGUAAGUUUUCUUAAAGACAAUGAUACAACUGAAAAAGAAAUAAUAAACACAGUCAUCUCUCUGUUAUCUUGUGGAGGUAAAUGGUGAACUUAAAAAAAUAGACUUUAUUCAAAGUAGUGUCUCCAAGAAGGUUCAUCUGUGAACAUGUUAAGGAUCGCUGGACUCUUAUAUGUUAAUUCAUGGAUUCAAUUAUGAUCAGGAAUGAUCCUCAGUUUUUAAAGCAAACUCAAAGAACUAGGUAAGUUGUUUUAAUAUCAGUGUCGCUGUUCUGAGACGUGCAAACUUUAUCUUAGAUUCUUUCUAUUAUUUUUAUUUAUUUAUUUUUUUUGAGACGGAGUCUUGCUCUGUCACCCAGGCUGG